GUGAGUCAUCGAAUCUUUGAACGCAACUUGCGCCCUCUGGUAUUCCGGAGGGCAUGCCUGUUUGAGUGUCAUGUAGACUCAACCCCUCGGGUUUCCGAGUAGGUUGGAUGUGGGUGUUGCCUGCCUCUGGCUCACCUUAAAGAACUUAGUGGGGAUAGCAUCCUAGUCGACGUAAUAAGUUUCGCCGGUGAUGGUGUGAAGCCUGCUCAUAACUGCCCUUGGGCACCUUUUGACUCUGACCUCAAAUCAGGUAGGACUACCCGCUGAACUUAAGCAUAUCAAUAAGCGGAGGA
rnacentral:misc_RNA from 1 species